rnacentral:rRNA from 1 species
AAUGAACGCUGGCGGCGCGCCUAAUACAUGCAAGUCGAGCGAGAAGACGUAGCAAUACGUUUGUAAAGCGGCGAACGGGUGAGGAAUACAUGGGUAACCUACCCUCGAGUGGGAAUAACUAGCCGAAAGGUUAGCUAAUACCGCGUACGCUUCUUGGACUUCGGUUCAGGGAGGAAAGCGAUGCCGAGGGUAUCGCGCUCUUGGAUGGGCUCAUGUCCUAUUCAGCUUGUUGGNGAGGUAACGGCUCACCAAGGCUUCGACGGGUAGCUGGUCUGAGAGGACGAUCAGCCACACUGGCACU